rnacentral:rRNA from 1 species
AUACGGAGGGUGCAAGCGUUGUCCGGAAUCAUUGGGCGUAAAGAGUUCGUAGGCGGUUUGUUAAGUCUGGUGUUAAAGCCCGAAGCUCAACUUCGGUUCGGCACCGGAUACUGGCAGGCUAGAAUGCGGUAGAGGUAAAGGGAAUUCCUGGUGUAGCGGUGAAAUGCGUAGAUAUCAGGAGGAACAUCGGUGGCGUAAGCGCUUUACUGGGCCGUGAUUGACGCUGAGGAACGAAAGCCGGGGUAGC